GGAGCUUCUGGUGGCACCAGGCCACCACACCCCAAGGAGCUGCUGGAGGAUGGACUGCCCUGAAUUCCUUGUGAGCAGCAAGAGACUGAUGAGGGCCAAGAGAGAGAAGCUGACGACCACCAACCACAUCUUGAACAGGGACCUGCUGCUGCUGCUGCCUGAGACCCUUGAUGUCCAUCUGUACCUCUCCAGGAGGGCUGCUCUGCAUGGGAGGGAGAGACCGAGGAAGAGCCUGUGAAGAUGGGGCGGCUGGGAUCCCUCUGUAUAUACUUCUAUUUAGAGAUGUGUAUAGUUAUCGUUAUACCUAGGUAGUUAUAGGUAUAUAGAUAUUUGCAUAUGUAGAUUGAUAUAUUUGUAUAGGUAUAUUUAUAUAUUUAUCUAGUUAUAUAUGUACCUAGUUGUAUUUAUGUAUGUAUCUAGUUGUAUUUAUAUAUCUAUGUUAUAUUUCUAUCUGUAUUUAGUUAUAAUUACAUAUGUGUGCAGUUGUAUAGCUAUAUAGUUAUAUUAUUCUAGUUAUAGGUAUAUGGAUUUUUAGGUGCAUAUAUUAAUAUGUAUCUAGUUAUAUUUAUGUAUGUCCAUUGCUAUAUUUAUGUAUAUUGUUAUAUUUUCAUUAUAUUUAAAUAGGUAUAGAGUUGUAUAACUGUCUAGUUAUAUUGAUGUAGUUAUAGACCUAUGGAUAUAUUGAUAUUUGUAUAUUUAUAUAUAGGUUCACUAUGUGUAUAUUUAUAUAUGUAUUUAUAUAGUAUAUUUAACAUGUAAUUAUAUUUGUAUCUAUAUUGUUAUGGUUAUGUGUAUGUAGUUAUGUUUCUGUAGGUACAGAGUUGUAUAGUUUUAUAAUUAUAUUUAUUUACUUAUAGGUACGGUGUUAUUUGGAUAGAUGUAUUGAUAUUUUUGUAUUAGUUUAUAGGCUGUACAGUUGUAGUACUCUGCAAUAAGUUAACUUUUUUAACUGCAGUUAAUAUUUGUAUAUUUUUACAUAGCAUAGUUGUAGCAAUCUAAUAAAUUGUUUUAAACUUAAAUCGAUAUUUAUGUA
rnacentral:lncRNA from 1 species